CCUACGGGAGGCAGCAGUGGGGAAUAUUGCACAAUGGGCGCAAGCCUGAUGCAGCCAUGCCGCGUGUAUGAAGAAGGCCUUCGGGUUGUAAAGUACUUUCAGCGGGGAGGAAGGGAGUAAAGUUAAUACCUUUGCUCAUUGACGUUACCCGCAGAAGAAGCACCGGCUAACUCCGUGCCAGCAGCCGCGGUAAUACGGAGGUGCAAGCGUUAAUCGGAAUUACUGGGCGUAAAGCGCACGCAGGCGGUUUGUUAAGUCAGAUGUGAAAUCCCCGGGCUCAACCUGGGAGCUGCAUCUGAUACUGGCAAGCUUGAGUCUCGUAGAGGGGGGUAGAAUUCCAGGUGUAGCGGUGAAAUGCGUAGAGAUCUGGAGGAAUACCGGUGGCGAAGGCGGCCCCCUGGACGAAGACUGACGCUCAGGUGCGAAAGCGCGGGGAGCAAACAGGAUUAGAUACCCUGGUAGUCCACGCCGUAAACGAUGUCGACUUGGUAGGUUGUCGUCCUUGGUAGGCGUGGUCGUCCGGAGACGUACGUACGUACGU
rnacentral:rRNA from 1 species